AGAGUUUGAUCCUGGCUCAGAACGAACGCUGGCGGCGCGCCUAAUACAUGCAAGUCGAACGAGAAUGUGUAGCAAUACACAUGUACAGUGGCGAACGGGUGAGGAAUACAUGGGUAACCUACCCUCGAGUGGGGAAUAACUAGCCGAAAGGUUAGCUAAUACCGCGUACGCUUCCCGGACUGCGGUUCGGGAAGGAGAGCGAUACCGUGGGUAUCGCGCUCUUGGAUGGGCUCAUGCCCUAUCAGCUUGUUGGUGAGGUAACGGCUCACCAAGGCUUCGACGGGUAGCUGAUCUGAGAGGAUGAUCAGCCACACUGGCACUGCGACACGGGCCAGACUCCUACGGGAGGCAGCAGUAAGGAAUAUUGCGCAAUGGGCGAAAGCCUGACGCAGCGACGCCGCGUGGGGGAUGAAGGUCUUCGGAUUGUAAACCCCUUUCGGGAGGGAAGAUGGGAUGGGGUAACCCAUUCGGACGGUACCUCCAGAAGCAGCCACGGCUAACUUCGUGCCAGCCGCCGCGGUAAUAC
rnacentral:rRNA from 1 species